AUUGAACGCUGGCGGAAUGCUUUACACAUGCAAGUCGAACGGCAGCACGGACUUCGGUCUGGUGGCGAGUGGCGAACGGGUGAGUAAUGUAUCGGAACGUGCCCAGUCGUGGGGGAUAACGUAGUGAAAAUUACGCUAAUACCGCAUACGAUCUAUGGAUGAAAGCGGGGGAUCGCAAGAACUCGCGCGAUUGGAGGGGCCGAUAUCAGAUUAGGUAGUUGGUGGGGUAAAGGCCCACCAAGCCAACGAUCUGUAGCUGGUAUGAGAGGACGACCAGCCACACUGGAACUGAGACACGGUCCAGAAUCCGACGGGAGGCAGCAGUGGGGAAUUUUGGACAAUGGGCGAAAGCCUGAUCCAGCCAUUCCGCGUGCAGGAUGAAGGCCCUCGGGUUGUAAACUGCUUUUGUACAGAACGAAAAGGUUUCUACUAAUACUAGGAGCUCAUGACGGUACUGUAAGAAUAAGCACCGGCUAACUACGUGCCAGCAGCCGCAGUAA
rnacentral:rRNA from 1 species